AAAUAAAAAAAAACAAAAUGAAAAAUGUGAAGCACAGUAACGAACAAAACCUCUCGUCGUCCUUAACAAAUCUCUCUCACUCUCAACGAGUCUCUCCCUCACGACCUCAAACCCCACGAUUUUUCUCUCUCGCUCUCAAUCGCUAUCCCUCUCAAACACUCACCUCUCUCAGUCGCUCUCAAAAUCGCUCAUCACCGACCUUCACUCUCAACAAAUCUCUCUCUCUCUCGCCCAAACAGCGUGAAAGUUUGAAAGAAAGCUCACCUUUGCGGUGAAUCGGUAGCUCAGGUUUAGGGUUUGGGAUUGGCUUCUGCAUCAAAACAGGUGUCUCUGCAAACUCCUUUUGAUGUGCUCAGUUGGGAUUGGCCUUUUUGAUGCUAGAUCCGAAAAUGUGAAAUUUGGAGCAAAAGCUUCUCUGGUUUCAAUGUAGCUGCUGAUAGAAUUUUGGUGAUAGGUACGAGUUCUAAACGGAAUAUGGCUCAAUUGGAUAGCCCAUUGGUGCAACUCUCGGAAUGAUAAAAUGUAGACAAGGUUGUAAUCAAGCUUCUGUGUAUUGAAGGCUGAAGUUUCGUUGACUGAGCACGAGUUUGUAAAAGGCAUCCCAGUCCAUCUAUUAUCAAGUCCUUUGGAAUGUAAUCUAGAGUCAUGAGUGCAACCUGUCUCAAGCCCACCUAUAUCAACAGAAUAAUCGACCAGAUUGGAUUUUGCAAUAACUGUUGCCGUAGGUGAAUGAACCAUUACAGCUUCCUCAACCAUAUAUUUUCUCUGCUUUCUGCUGUUAUUAAAGUCUGGCCAGAAAAAGUUUUCGAGCAUAUACUUGAUAUUCUUCCGGCUAUUGGGGUAUCAGCUGUUACACAGAUUGACAGUCAUUCAAAGCAUGUUUUUGAGGAUCUUAUUUCUGCAAUUGUUCCUUGUUGGCUGUCUAAGACAGAUGAUGUGGAGAAAUUACUGAAGGUUUUCAUAGAUAUAUUUCCUGAAAUAGUUGAGCACAGAAGGCCAUCCAUUGUUUUACAUCUCCUACGAACUUUGGGUGAGGGUAAAAGCUUGUCCUCAUUGCUUAUUUUGUUGUUCUCUUCACUGGUUUCAAGGAAAGCCAGCCUCUUCGUCAAUAUUCAGACGCCAGAUGCUUUAUCAUUUUGUACUAAAGAGUGGGAAUAUAAAUUAGCAGUGCAGAUUUGUGAGCAGUUUACAAGUAUGACCUGGCAUUCGGUUUCUUAACAUUGGAUGGCUUAGAAUGAGCGCCAGGCACGACAUCUGACUUUCAAACGAACCAAGACUAGAAGCAUCAACAGACACCGGACCAAGGAACUUGCCAACAGAUCCGUUAUCAGAACCAUUAUCCAAAAGAAGUUCCUCGAGAACUGCUUUAAUUCUUUGUAGCUUGGGAGGAACAACAAUGACAUCAAAAGGAAGAUUACCGUCGGCAUCAACACAACUAACAUGGGCACCCGCCGUUAUAAGAAGCCUAACAGCAUCAACAACAUUAACAGACCCACCAGAAGAAACAUAGUGAAGGGCAGUGAUCCUAAACAAAUUUCAGCAGAUCUGAGUUAUUAUGUCUUAGGCAAUCUUUUAUAUCGAGUUUGCAGUUACGCAAAGUGCCAUGUAGAUCAACAACACCGGGUGCCAAAAUAUUCUUAAUCUGCCAUGAGUCAUAAGCUGCAUUUACAAAGAAGAUUGGUGUACUGAUUUGUGCGACCACAUUUUGCGGGAAAAACACAGCCCAGGCAAAAGUCUUGAUGUGCAAGAUGAAGGCAAAUUCUUGGGCAUUUCCUUCUGCAAACUUCUACUAUUUCGUGGUAACUGUAACUUGUUCGAACAUUCCAAGGAUGAGUUAGGUCGCUUGACAGUUCUUUCCAAAUUGAAAGCCGUACCUUUUUCAAAGUCACUACUAUCACUGUCAUCAUCAGAAAAGCUUAUCACAAGAUCUUUAUCAUCGCUUGCAUGACCAGCCCAUGGAGAAGAUUUAAGGGGUUUUGGCUCAAACGAGGCUUGGUGAUAGAGCAACAACAACAAGUGUCAUGGCAACAUCUGGCAUCUUGUUCAUAUUGAUAUCAAUGCCUUGCAACACUUUCCGACCAGAAGAAUCUCGUGGAGGCCCGGUAACUGUGACGCUGUUUUCUGUCCACGUAACUUUAGCUCCCAUCCUUCAAGAACUUCAGAAAAUUUACAUCUCCCUGUAAACUGCUCGUCCCGCAGCCUAUAACCGUGAUAGUUCCAACGGUAACUUCUGCACCGGCUAGGAAGUAACUGGCGCUAGAAGCAUCACCUUCAGUGCUAAUAGAUCCAGACAUUCGCCUGCAGCAACCAAGGCUGCCGUCAAAGGACGCAUUGCUGUACCGGCAUUUCCAAGGAAUAAAUUAACUUCAUCUUUAGAUUCUCUACACGUGGGAAACAAUCCCCCACUGUCUUCCACAACUGCUUGUUUGGUUGUUUUUGUCUCUAUUAGUGUAUAUUUAUGUUAUAAUUUAUAUUAUUGAAGUGGUUGGAAGGGUUUGUUUUGUGUAGGUUUUUGGUAAGUUAGAAAAUGUUCCUCAGUUGCGUGAGGUCAGAAUGGAGGUCUUUUGAAGGCUUGUUGGUUAAUAAGGAGUGUUGGCUUGUUAAUGUUGAAAUUCUAUGGACUUAAUGUUGCUCUGUUACGAUUGUGGUAGGAUGGAUGUUAACAUGGAGCUAUUGUGGUUCGGAAUAUGAUCAUAGGCCAUGUGAAUUUGGAUUGUAAUUUUUAUAGUAUGAAAUUGAAAAUGAAUAUAUGGUAUUAAUGAAUGGAUGAAAAUUUGGUUGA